CUGGGUCCAACCUCCCACCCGUGUUUAUUUUACCUUGUUGCUUCGGCGGGCCCGCCUUAACUGGCCGCCGGGGGGCUCACGCCCCCGGGCCCGCGCCCGCCGAAGACACCCUCGAACUCUGUCUGAAGAUUGAAGUCUGAGUGAAAAUAUAAAUUAUUUAAAACUUUCAACAACGGAUCUCUUGGUUCCGGCAUCGAUGAAGAACGCAGCGAAAUGCGAUACGUAAUGUGAAUUGCAAAUUCAGUGAAUCAUCGAGUCUUUGAACGCACAUUGCGCCCCCUGGUAUUCCGGGGGGCAUGCCUGUCCGAGCGUCAUUGCUGCCCUCAAGCCCGGCUUGUGUGUUGGGCCCCGUCCUCCGAUUUCCGGGGGACGGGCCCGAAAGGCAGCGGCGGCACCGCGUCCGGUCCUCGAGCGUAUGGGGCUUUGUCACCCGCUCUGUAGGCCCGGCCGGCGCUUGCCGAUCAACCCAAAUUUUUUAUCCAGGUUGACCUCGGAUCAGGUAGGGAUACCCGCUGAACUUAAGCAUAUCAAUAAGCGGAGGAA
rnacentral:rRNA from 1 species